rnacentral:rRNA from 1 species
CCCUUAGAUGUUCUGGGCCGCACGCGCGCUACACUGACGAAUGCAACGAGCUUAUAACCUUGGCCGAAAGGUCUGGGUAAUCUCCAAAUUUCGUCGUGAUGGGGAUAGAUUAUUGCAAUUAUUAAUCUUCAACGAGGAAUGCCUAGUAAGCGCAAGUCAUCAGCUUGCGUUGAUUACGUCCCUGCCCUUUGUACACACCGCCCGUCGCUCCUACCGAUUGAAUGGUCCGGUGAAGCGUUCGGACCGUGGCCUUUGUACGGUUCGCCGUCUGUUGGCUGCGGGAAGUUCGUUAAACCUUAUCAUUUAGAGGAAGGAGAAGUCGUAACA